UAUUUUGUAUGAUAUAAAAACGACCAAGCUACACCAAAAGCGACAUUAGUUCGAGUGAGUAUCUUGAUGAAAGAUGAAGUUCCUGAGCCAACUAUUUUGUUUCUUUUUGCUGUGCAUCGCGGCAUCGAUGUGCAUGAGCAUUGGAAAUCAAUCCCCAGGGAAUCCAACUUCUGCGCUUACAGGACAGAGUAAAGUAGCUUGUAGGAACAGAGGGACUACUACUACCGCAGCAUCUACAUAAAUGAGUAGAAGACAAUGGAGAAGUUUUAUGACGAUGGAUUAAAAUAUCUAGAAGAAUCUAAAAUUAUUAUGUACAAUGAAUAAUAUAAAUCGAUUUCUCUAUAUAUUUUUCUAAAGACAAAGUAUAGAAAUACAUGUGAAAAAGUUA